UCUUCUGGAUGGACAAUAAAGGUGGUUUCUUAAGAUGGAAUCUACUUCUGGUGAAGAUGCUGUGAA
rnacentral:pre_miRNA from 3 species